UUNGUCUCAGGGAGCUCUGGGGGCACUG
rnacentral:piRNA from 1 species